rnacentral:rRNA from 1 species
UACGUAGGAUGCGAGCGUUGUCCGGAUUUAUUGGGCGUAAAGAGCGUGUAGGCGGCCAGACAGGUCCGUUGUGAAAACUCGAGGCUCAACCUCGAGACGCCGAUGGAAACCGUUUGGCUAGAGUCCGGAAGAGGAGAGUGGAAUUCCUGGUGUAGCGGUGAAAUGCGCAGAUAUCAGGAAGAACACCCGUGGCUAAGGCGGCUCUCUAGUACGGUACUGACGCUGAGACGCGAAAGCGUGGGGAGCGAACAGG